GGAUUAGCUCAGUUGGUAGAGCAGCGGUUUUGUAAACCGAAGGUCGCGGGUUCGAAUCCUGCAUCCGG
rnacentral:tRNA from 1 species